GGUGGUUCAAGUCCACUCAGGCCUACC
rnacentral:tRNA from 1 species